AUUGAACGCUGGCGGCAGGCCUAACACAUGCAAGUCGAACGAGUGGCGGACGGGUGAGUAAUGUCUGGGCAACUGCCUGAUGGAGGGGGAUAACUACUGGAAACGGUAGCUAAUACCGCAUACCAUCAGAUGUGCCCAGAUGGGAUUAGCUUGUUGGUGGGGUAACGGCUCACCGAGGCGACGAUCCCUAGCUGGUCUGAGAGGAUGACCAGCCACACGGGGACUGGACCACGGUCCAAAUCCCUACGGGGGGCAGCGGGGGGGAAAAUUGCACAUGGGCGCAAGCCUGAUGCAGCCAUGCCGCGUGUAUGAAGAAGGCCUUCGGGUUGUAAAGUACUUUCAGCGGGGAGGCGUUACCCGCAGAAGAAGCACCGGCUAACUCCGUGCCAGCCGCCGCGGUAAUAC
rnacentral:rRNA from 1 species